UACGUAGGGUCCGAGCGUUGUCCGGAAUUACUGGGCGUAAAGCGCGCGCAGGCGGCCCGCGAGGUGUCACGUGAAAGCCCCGGGCUCAACCCGGGAGGGUCGUGGCAAACCGGCGGGCUUGAGGCCGGUAGAGGUGGGUGGAACUCCUGGUGGAGUGGUGAAAUGCGUAGAGAUCAGGAAGAACACCCGUGGCGAAGGCGGCCCACUGGGCCGGUACUGACGCUGAGGCGCGAAAGCGUGUGGAGCAAACAGG
rnacentral:rRNA from 1 species